rnacentral:rRNA from 1 species
GAUGAACGCUGGCGGCGUGCCUAACACAUGCAAGUCGAACGAAGCACUUCGAUUUCCUCGGAAUGAAAAAGUGACUGAGUGGCGGACGGGUGAGUAACGCGUGGGUAACCUGCCUCAUACAGGGGGAUAACAGUUAGAAAUGACUGCUAAUACCGCAUAAGCGCACAGUACCGCAUGGUACGGUGUGAAAAACUCCGGUGGUAUGAGAUGGACCCGCGUCUGAUUAGCUAGUUGGUGGGGUAACGGCCUACCAAGGCGACGAUCAGUAGCCGACCUGAGAGGGUGACCGGCACAUUGGGACUGAGACACGGCCCAAAACUCCUACGGGAGGCAGCAGUGGGGAAUAUUGGGCAAUGGGCGAAAGCCUGACCCAGCGACGACCGCGUGAGGGAAGAAGGAUCUUCGGGAUUGUAAACCUUAGUCAACAGGGAAGAGAAAGUGACGGUACCUGU